CCCUUAGAUGUUCUGGGCCGCACGCGUGCUACACUGAGUGGAUCAGCGGGUCAGGUUGCGCGAAAGUGUUUCCUAAUCUUGAAAUCCGCUCGUGAUGGGGAUUGACGGUUGCAAUUUUCCGUCAUGAACGAGGAAUACCUUGUAAGCGCGGGUCAUCAUCCCGCGCUGAAUACGUCCCUGCCCUUUGUACACACCACCCGUCGCUCCUACCGAUUGAGUGGUCCGGUGAGGCUUUGGGAUCUGAGCAAAAAGAGCGUUUCGCUCGUUUGGCUCGGAAAACUCAGUCGAACCUUAUCAUUUAGAGGAAGGAGAAGUCGUAACA
rnacentral:rRNA from 1 species